CCUACGGGGGGCAGCAGUGGGGGAUAUUGGACAAUGGGGGAAACCCUGAUCCAGCGACGCCGCGUGAGUGAAGAAGUAUUUCGGUAUGUAAAGCUCUAUCAGCAGGGAAGAAAGAAAUGACGGUACCGGAGUAAGAAGCACCGGCUAACUACGGGCCAGCAGCCGCGGUAAUACGUCGGGGGCAAGCGUUAUCCGGAAUUACUGGGUGUAAAGGGAGCGUAGACGGUAAUGAAAGUCUGGAGUGAAAGGCGGGGGCCCAACCCCCGGACUGCUCUGGAAACGGUGGAACUGGAGUGCAGGAGCGGCCGGCGUCCUUCCUCGUGUAGCGGUGACCUGCUUAGAUAUUAGGCGGAACACCAGUGGCGACGGCGGCCUGCUGGACUGUACCUGACGUUGCGGCUCGACCGCGUGGGGAGCACCCAGGAUUAGAUACCCCGGUAGUC
rnacentral:rRNA from 1 species